rnacentral:lncRNA from 1 species
AUGGAUCUUUGUGGAACAACGAUGGUGGUUCAAACAUGGAUGAAGAAGAGUGUUCAUUUUUUUUUCAUGAGUUUUGAGUUGAGAGAAAUUGUUUUAUUCAUGGGUUUUUGAGUUUACAUGUAAACAACCUAAUGAGAUUUAGAAUGAGUUUUUCAGUGUUAUUUGAAGGAGUAGCAGAAUGAGUUUUGCCAAAACUUAAAUGAAAAAGUGGUAGACUUAUUAGUGGUACACGUUUUGGCUGUCAAAAACGAGAAAAAAAGAAGUGGUACACAUUCUGGCGGAAACAUUCCGCCACAAACUCUUUCCAUUCUUUUUUAAUUAUAUUUUAUACUUUUUGACGGAUAAAUCCGCCAAUAUAUAUGUCACAAUUGUUUUAUUUAUUUAUUUAUUUAUUUCCUGGUAAAGUUAUUGGCGGUUUUAUAUUACUUU